UCUUGGGAAAUUUCAUCGUGAUGGGGAUAGAUCAUUGCAAUUGUUGGUCUUCAACGAGGAAUGCCUAGUAAGCGCGAGUCAUCAGCUCGCGUUGACUACGUCCCUGCCCUUUGUACACACCGCCCGUCGCUCCUACCGAUUGAAUGGUCCGGUGAAGUGUUCGGAUCGCGGCGACGGGGGCGGUUCGCCGCCCCCGACGUCGCGAGAAGUCCAUUGAACCUUAUCAUUUAGAGGAAGGAGAAGUCGUAACANGGUUUCCGUAGGUGAACCUGCGGAAGGAUCAUUG
rnacentral:rRNA from 1 species